UCUGAUCGCUGCACCAAAGCCCGACUCACCCGUUCGGUCGGAUUAUUUGUUGGACAACCAAGUAGCAAAAAGGUUGAACUGUGAGCCGCUCCGGAAUGCCAAAAACAAACAUGGGUUGUUUGACCACACACUUUUCGAAGUGAGAGGUGACGACUCCCAGCGUUGUGUUGAACUUUUAGACCGUGGGAAUGGACCCAUAUAGUCGAUGGACACAACUUGCCAUGGCAUCGACGCUAUUCUCGGACGACCCAAUUUGAGGUGGAUGUUUCGCCGUUUUGCAGUUUCUCACACAUAUGCGGCCAAUAGUGCUUUUCCCGGAUUUCCCUCAUCGUUUUGUAGUACCCAAAGUGGGUUACACUGUGCUCGUCUUCGAGGAUCUGAAUAGGAUCAGCUUUUGGCGGCAUAUCAACUCAAAACGAGGAUCUUUUGAAGUGCAGCUGACUUGCAGAAUUGACUUUGAUGUUCAAGUCCACCAACUAUAUCAUGCUGCUGCAGUUUAAGGGCCCAUCCAACAAGUCGUGCGGAGAUGCCCUCGACGCUUACUUUAUUUAACUAUUUCAAGGAUUGCGCGUCCAGUUAUAAAUGAGUACCCCCUACGUAAUGGCGGAAUUUUCCAAUGGCCAAAUCUACAGCCAGGCAUUAGUGUCCCGUUGCAGAUUACUUCCUCUGAGUUGAAGAAACAUAUUUGAAAAGAAUGAGAUUGGGCGCCUACAUUCAUUAGAGAUGCUGUACCAGAACUGUUUCCGCUACCACUAAACAAGCGUCAGAUUCUAUUAAAAUCUGGAUUCUUCAGGAUUGGUGGAGAAGUACGUUCUGAUCGCUGCACCAAAGCCCGACUCACUUUUUUGGACCGUGGGAAUGGACCCAUAUAGUCGAUGGACACAACUUGCCAAGGCAUCGACGCUAUCUUCGGACGACCCAAUUUGAGGUGGAUGUUUCGCCGUUUUGUAGUUCCUCACACAUACGCGGCCAAUAGUGCUUUUCCCGGAUUUCCCUCAUCGUUUUGUAGUACCCAAAGUGGGUUACACUGUGCUCGUCGUCGAGGAUCUGAAUAGGAUCAGCUUUUGGCGGCAUAUCAACUCAAAACGAGGAUCUUUUGAAGUGCAGCUGACUUGCAGAAUUGACUUUGAUGUUCAAGUCCACCAACUAUAUCAUGCUGCUGCAGUUUAAGGACCCAUGGAACAAGUCGUGCUGAGUUGCCCUCAACGCUUACUUAAUUAAACUAUUUCAAGGAUUGCGCGUCCGGUGAUAAAUGAGUACCCUCUACGUAAUGGCGCAAUUUUUCAAUGGCCAAAUUGACAGCCAGGCAUUAUCGUCCCGUUGCAGAAUACUUCUUCUGAGCUGAUGAAACAAAUUUGAAAAGAAUGAGGUCACUAAGGAAGCAUCAGAUUCUAUUGAAAUCUGGAUUUUUCAGGAUUGG